CAGUCGCCGCGGGAAUACGUAGGGUGCAAGCGUUAAUCGGAAUUACUGGGCGUAAAGCGCGCGCAGGCGGUGUUGUAAGACUGAUGUGAAAUCCCCGGGCUCAACCUGGGAACUGCAUUGGUGACUGCAACGCUGGAGUGCGGCAGAGGGGGAUGGAAUUCCGCGUGUAGCAGUGAAAUGCGUAGAUAUGCGGAGGAACACCGAUGGCGAAGGCAAUCCCCUGGGCCUGCACUGACGCUCAUGCACGAAAGCGUGGGGAGCAAACAGGAUUAGAUACCCGCGUAGUCCCUGUCUCUUAUAA
rnacentral:rRNA from 1 species